GCCAGAUGAUGUUGUGAUUUGAUGAGUACAUGAUUACACUCUAUCCACUACCCAUGACUGAUGGCA